rnacentral:rRNA from 1 species
GAUGAACGCUGGCGGCGUGCUUAACACAUGCAAGUCGAGCGAGAAAAGUUCUUCGGAGCUUUUCUAGCGGCGGACGGGUGAGUAACACGUGGGCAACCUGCCUCAUAGAGGGGAAUAGCCUUCCGAAAGGAAGAUUAAUACCGCAUAAUAUUGUUGAAAGGCAUCUUUUAACAAUCAAAGGAGCAAUCCGCUAUGAGAUGGGCCCGCGGCGCAUUAGCUAGUUGGUGAGGUAACGGCUCACUAAGGCGACGAUGCGUAGCCGACCUGAGAGGGUGAUCGGCCACAUUGGAACUGAGACACGGUCCAGACUCCUACGGGAGGCAGCAGUGGGGAAUAUUGCACAAUGGGGGAAACCCUGAUGCAGCAACGCCGCGUGAGUGAUGAAGGUCUUCGGAUUGUAAAGCUCUGUCUUUAGGGACGAUAAUGACGGUACCUAAGGAGGAAGCCACGGCUAACUACGUGCCAGCCGCCGCUGUAAAAC